CAAACCUCAAGCUUCUGCUUGGUAUUGAGCGUCCGCCUGCCUCGCAGGCGGUGCUCGAAACUCGUGGGCGGUAGAAGUCCAGCGUCGUAGCGUAGUCAUAACAAACUUCCGCUUCUUUGUCGCCUCUUCUGCUCGCCAGAGAACCUCUAUUCUUUUAAG
rnacentral:misc_RNA from 1 species